GACGAACGCUGGCGGCGUGCCUAAUACAUGCAAGUCGAACGCAGUGGGGACGGGUGAGUAACACGUGGGUAACCUCCCAUCAGCGGGGAUAACACUUGGAAACAGGUGCUAAACCGAUAUUGAUGGAUGGACCCGCGGUUAUUUAGCUAGUUGGUGAGGUAACGGCUCACCAAGGCCACGAUGCAUAGCGGGCCGGGAAGGGUGUACGGUCACAUUGGGACUGAGCCACGGUCCAGACUCCUCGGGGAGGCAGCAGUGGGGAAUAUUGCACAAUGGGCGCAAGCCUGAUGCAGCCAUGCCGCGUGUAUGAAGAAGGCCUUCGGGUUGUAAAGUACUUUCAGCGGGGAGGCGUUACCCGCAGAAGAAGCACCGGCUAACUCCGUGCCAGCAGCCGCGGUAAUUC
rnacentral:rRNA from 1 species